rnacentral:rRNA from 1 species
GUCGAAAGACGGACUUAGUGAUCCGGUGGUUCCGCAUGGAAGGGCCAUCGCUCAACGGAUAAAAGCUACCCCGGGGAUAACAGGCUUAUCUCCCCCAAGAGUUCACAUCGACGGGGAGGUUUGGCACCUCGAUGUCGGCUCAUCGCAUCCUGGGGCUGUAGUCGGUCCCAAGGGUUGGGCUGUUCGCCCAUUAAAGCGGUACGCGAGCUGGGUUCAGAACGUCGUGAGACAGUUCGGUCCCUAUCCGUCGUGGGCGUAGGAAAUUUGAGAGGAGCUGUCCUUAGUACGAGAGGACCGGGAUGGACAUACCUCUGGUGUACCAGUUGUCGUGCCAACGGCAUAGCUGGGUAGCUAUGUGUGGACGGGAUAAGUGCUGAAAGCAUCUAAGCAUGAAGCCCCCCUCAAGAUGAGAUUUCCCAACUUCGGUUAUAAGAUCCCUCAAAGAUGAUGAGGUUAAUAGGUUCGAGGUGGAAGCAUGGUGACAUGUGGAGCUGACGAAUACUAAUCGAUCGAAGACUUAAUCAA